GCCUGGAUCAAUGGGUGCGCCGAAAGGUUGGGGCGUGAUAAAAGGUUUCUCGUUGGUGGAAGGAGUUGUACUGCUGGCCAAUCAGCAGCUUAAUAUACAUUUACGUAAUUUCCUUAGACAAGGUGGCGGCGAUAAGACGUGAGACAUAUGUACAGUGAGACAAAACGAUGACCGCACUGACGGCGAAUCCUUCAGAGAUGAUUGUUUAUAUCUGCGUCUUUUUUGUACAAGAGAGUACAGAAUACAUCCUGUCUCUCAACUAUGCAGAGUAUAUUCAAGCUGCCAACACACUGGUUGUGAAGAACCCUUUCCAGAGAAAUAUAGAAAGAAAUGACUGUUCAAGUUUUCACUGCCUGACCAUCAUCUUGAUGUUAAUGAAGUUAAGUGUUUUUAUUAUUUUUAUAUCUAAAACACCUUGUUUAGAAAAGUAUUUAGAUGUUUUUCAUAUAUGUCACGGUCUAAGCAUGAUCUGUUUCUGUUGUUCUGAUGAAGGAAACUUGUGUUGGAGAGGAUUCAGUGUCUGUUGUGGCACAUGUGAAUGUGUAAUAAAGUGAGUAUCAGAAAACACAUCCAGACACAUGGACUGUCAAAGACCACACGACAGGAACAUUCUCCUGGAGACGCUGAGAAAGCACAGAAGGAAUGUCUGUGGAGGAUGUACUCAAAAAAUACACAUACUUAAGGACACCUGCUGGAGGGGACCUGGCUACACCUUUCCUACCAUACACCUGAUGGAUACUGACUGUAAAAUGGCAAUCAUAGUUCGAGGACUCAGUGUGGUGACAGAAGAUGGAAAAGAUGAGUGUCAGUGCACCAGCCUUGAUGAAGCUUCAUAACACCCUUGUGGAUGUAUUCUGCUUUCAACAUUGCAUAUCCACCACACCUGAGAAAGACACUGACUUUCCUUCAGAGGGACAUUGUCAACAUUAGAAGACGAGACAAGCUCUGUCAGUAACUUUACUUGUAUUUCUUGUAUUAAAUCCUCAUGCCUUGACUGUACCAUUGCCCAAAGUGCACUCGAAGGACAUUCACUCUUCUGAAGUUAACCCAACAUGUUGGAGCGGUAUGGUUUACUGGAAGUCUGUCAGUCCAGAUGUGAGGAGGACAUACAGAGUGGAGCUGGAGCUCAGCAGAUGUGGUCUUGGAAAGAAGGGAUCUUCACAGCUUUCUAUUCAGACAAAGAAAACAGAAGUUUGCUGGAUUCUGUUCUAUGGACUGCUACUACAGAAUGAAUGAAUGAAUGAAUAAAUGAAUGAGUGGUUUAUCUAUCUAUCUAUCUAUCUAUCUAUCUAUCUAUCUAUCUAUCUAUCUAUCUAUCUAUCUAUCUAUCUAUCUAUCUAUCUAUCUUUUUACUUGAAUUGGUGACUGAAACUGAAAGCUAAAUAAAAGCUGUGUCUGUUUGCUUAAUUGGUUAAUGUCACUUAAAACAAGGUUACUAAACUCUUCUAAUUUUUAAAUUUAUUAGUUUUUAAUUUUUACAAAUUUUUCUUUAUCAGGCAAAACCUGGUUUUCCUGUGUAACACUUUACAAUAAAGGUUCAUUUGUUGACUGAUGUAUUAACUAAAAUUAACUAUGAGCAAUACAUUUGAUACAGUAUUUAUUAAACUUUGUUAGUUAAUAAACA